UGCCGGAGUGGCGGAACUGGCAGACGCGCUGGACUCAAAAUCCAGUGUCCGUUAAAGGACGUGUGGGUUCGAACCCCACCUCCGGUAUC
rnacentral:tRNA from 1 species